rnacentral:rRNA from 1 species
GAUGAACGCUGGCGGCGUGCCUAUUACAUGCAAGUCGAGCGAACAGACGAGGAGCUUGCUCCUCUGACGUUAGCGGCGGACGGGUGAGUAACACGUGGAUAACCUACCUAUAAGACUGGGAUAACUUCGGGAAACCGGAGCUAAUACCGGAUAAUAUAUUGAACCGCAUGGUUCAAUAGUGAAAGACGGUUUUGCUGUCACUUAUAGAUGUAUCCGCGCCGCAUUAGCUAGUUGGUAAGGUAACGGCUUACCAAGGCGACGAUGCGUAGCCGACCUGAGAGGGUGAUCGGCCACACUGGAACUGAGACACGGUCCAGACUCCUACGGGAGGCAGCAGUAGGGAAUCUUCCGCAAUGGGCGAAAGCCUGACGGAGCAACGCCGCGUGAGUGAUGAAGGUCUUCGGAUCGUAAAACUCUGUUAUUAGGGAAGAACAAAUGUGUAAGUAACUAUGCACGUCUUGACGGUACCUAAUCAGAAAGCCACGGCUAACUACGUG